rnacentral:lncRNA from 1 species
GGCGGGGCGUCUCCGAGCGGCGGGCCGAGGGAGGGCGCAGCAGCUGCUCCCUGAACACUUUCUGACCCAACAGUCCCCCAGCGCCGGACGCGCCGCGCCCUGGCGGCUCUAGGGACCCCCCCCGCGCCUGCACUUAGCCCCGCGCCCGAGUCCACAGACAAACGAAUUUAAAGGAGCAACCGAGGAGGCACCUGCGAAAGAAAGCCCACACACAGGUGAAUUUAAAGGAGCAGCCCUGGUGUCACCUAUCAGUAAAAGACUAUUUGGAGUUUUCCUCGUCUUACUGGAUGUCACUCUCGUCCUUGCCGACCUAAUUUUCACUGACAGCAAACUUUAUAUUCCUUUGGAGUAUCGUUCUAUUUCUCUAGCUAUUGCCUUAUUUUUUCUCAUGGAUGUUCUUCUUCGAGUAUUUGUAGAAGGGUAAGUUUGAUUAUUUUUAUAAUAAGAACCACUUUGGGAGGCUGAGGUGGGAGGAUCCCAAGGUCAGGAGUUCGAGACAAUCCUGGCCAACAUGGUGAAACCCCGUCUCUACUAAAAAUACAAAAAUUAGCUGGGUGUGGUGGUGGUUGCCUGUAAUCCCAGCUGCUUGGGAGGCUGAGGCAGGAGAAUCAUUUGAACCUGGGAGGCAGAAGUUGCAUUGAGCCGAGAUCAUGCCAUUGCACUCUAGCCUGGGUGACAG